GUAGGUGACAAGCGUUGUCCGGAAUUAUUGGGCGUAAAGCGCGCGCAGGCGGUUCUUUAAGUCUGAUGUGAAAGCCCACGGCUCAACCGUGGAGGGUCAUUGGAAACUGGAGAACUUGAGUACAGAAGAGGAAAGCGGAAUUCCACGUGUAGCGGUGAAAUGCGUAGAGAUGUGGAGGAACACCAGUGGCGAAGGCGGCUUUCUGGUCUGUAACUGACGCUGAGGCGCGAAAGCGUGGGGAGCAAACAGGGAUUAGAUACCCUGGUAGUCCACGCCGUAAACGAUGAGUGCUAAGUGUUAGGGGGGUUUCCGCCCCCUUAGUGCUGCAGCUAACGCAUUAAGCACUCCGCCCCGGGGAGUACGGCCGCAAGGCUG
rnacentral:rRNA from 1 species